rnacentral:rRNA from 1 species
UACGUAGGGUGCGAGCGUUAAUCGGAAUUACUGGGCGUAAAGCGUGCGCAGGCGGCGCGUUAAGACAGGUGUGAAAGCCCCGAGCUUAACUUGGGAAUUGCGCUUGUGACUGGCGAGCUGGAGUGUGGCAGAGGGAGGUGGAAUUCCACGUGUAGCAGUGAAAAUGCGUAGAGAUGUGGAGGAACACCGAUGGCGAAGGCAGCCUCCUGGGCCAGCACUGACGCU